UUUCCCCAGGGAAGGCAAAUAGCCAUAAAUACACAUGAGAGGAAAAAAAAAAGAGAGUAGUUUUAGCCCAUCACAUAGCCCUGUUCUCCCUCAUUAUGUGACUGCACAAACAACUGGAAAAAGGGAGAGAGAAAUGCCAGGGGCAGUAAGUAGGCACAGUAGAAGACUAAAAGGUUAAUAUGUAUCUAGUAGAAGUUUUGUAAUACACUCUAUUUGAACUCUUGCUGUUAAACAGAAUUUGAAUGAAAAUCUGGAAACCAACAGUUCUCUCAGGAAACUAAUUUUUACUGUUAUGUGCUGCACUUUCAUACACCAUUAUAGUUUCCUAUACCAUUGUGUAAUUUAGUUCAAAUAUUGAUUAGUAAUUUCGUAAAUCUGAAAAACACAAUUCCCAGGUGAUGACCAUGACCCUAGAAAAAGUUUUGAGAAAACAACCUCAUUACGAGACGUACCUUGCAAUAGAUGUUUGUUUAACUGGAAAUCCACCAGAGCAGCUGCCCAGUGCAACGGUACAUAUUUGCUUCUGAAUCCUUUCUCAAAGGCGCUAUUUAAACAUGUUGAUGAACUGGACUGGAUUUCUCCCCACCUCCAUUCCAGCAAAACAAGGAGACUCAGAAGAAAAAAUUUGUUUUGUUUUUGCAAGUAGUGCUCCGUGGUGCAGCAUUAAAUAAGAGAUGUGAACUCACCAUGGCAACUCCUGCAUCACACUGCAGAUAUGCUGCUUCUAAGAUACGGUAAACAUUUCUGAAGAAAUGUAUCUGAAUAUGAGGCCUCCAUCUGAUGUCUCUGCACAAAUACUGCUGUUCAACAUAAGAGAUCCAAUGGAAUUAUAUGAAUUCAUACAAGGUUGGAAAUAGGUUUUUCUGCUGAACUGUUUUGCAGCUCAAUUUUAAAUUUACAACUGUUUCCCCUGAUAUAAUUGAUAUAAUUAAAUAAAUCUCAAAAAAAUGAAUACAGAUAUUAACAUGCAAAAGUUCUAUGUUCUGUAAUAAUUAUUUAGAUGAGUUCUACUAACCAGUAUAACCUAUUUUAUUU